UACGUAGGGGGCAAGCGUUGUCCGGAUUUAUUGGGCGUAAAGAGCGUGUAGGCGGCCACACAGGUCUGCUGUGAAAACUCGAGGCUCAACCUCGAGCUGUCGGUGGAAACCGUGUGGCUAGAGUCCGGAAGAGGAGAGUGGAAUUCCCGGUGUAGCGGUGAAAUGCGCAGAUAUCGGGAAGAACACCCGUGGCGAAGGCGGCUCUCUGGGUCGGUACUGACGCUGAGACGCGAAAGCGUGGGGAGCGAACAGG
rnacentral:rRNA from 1 species